UGGGACUGAGACACGGCCCAGACUCCUACGGGAGGCAGCAGUGGGGAAUUUUGGACAACGGGGGAAACCCUGAUCCAGCCAUGCCGCGUGUGUGAAGAAGGCCUUCGGGUUGUAAAGCUCUUUCGGCGGGGAAGAAAUCGCAUUCUCUAAUACAGGAUGUGGAUGACGGUACCCGAAUAAGAAGCACCGGCUAACUACGUGCCAGCAGCCGCGGUAAUA
rnacentral:rRNA from 1 species